rnacentral:rRNA from 1 species
AACGAACGCUGGCGGCAUGCCUAACACAUGCAAGUCGAACGAGACCUUCGGGUCUAGUGGCGCACGGGUGCGUAACGCGUGGGAACCUGCCCUUAGGUUCGGAAUAACUCCCCGAAAGGGGUGCUAAUACCGGUUAAUGUCUUCGGGCCAAAGAUUUAUCGCCUUUGGAUGGGCCCUCGUUGGUUUAGCUGGUUGGUAGUGUAAAAGCCGGCCAAGGCGACGAUGCAUAGCUGGUCGGAGAGGAUGAUCAGCCACACUGGGACUGAGGCACGGCCCAGACUCCUACGGAAGGCAGCAGUGGGGAAUAUUGGGCGCUGAGCGAUAGCCUGAUCCAGCAGUGCCGCGUGAGUGAUGAAGGCCUUAGUAUUGUACUGCUCUUUUUCCCGAGAUGAUAGUGACAGUACCGGGUGAAUAAGCACCGGCUAACUCCGUG